rnacentral:rRNA from 1 species
UACGGAGGAUCCAAGCGUUAUCCGGAAUUACUGGGCGUAAAGAGUUGCGUAGGUGGCAUGGCAAGUAGAUAGUGAAAGCGUUCGGCUCAACCGAAUACACAUUAUCUAAACUGCCAAGCUAGAGAAUGGUAGAGGUUACUGGAAUUCCCGGUGUAGGAGUGAAAUCCGUAGAUAUCGGGAGGAACACCAAUGGCGUAGGCAGGUAACUGGGCCAUUUCUGACACUAAGGCACGAAAGCGUGGGGAGCAAA